rnacentral:rRNA from 1 species
UACGAGGGGUGCAAGCGUUAUUCGGAAUAACUGGGCGUAAAGAGCGCGUAGGCGGUUUGUUAAGUCUGUUGUUAAAUUGCUCAGCUCAACUGGGUGUCGGCAAUAGAAACUGGCAAGCUAGAGGACAAGAGAGAGGGGUGGAAUUCUCGGAGUAGCGGUAAAAUGCGUAGAUCUCGAGAGGAACACCGAUGGCGAAGGCAGCCCCUUGGCUUGUAUCUGACGCUCAAGUGCGAAAGCGUGGGGAGCAAACAGGAUUAGAAACCCUGGUAGUCC